GUCUACGGCCCUACCACUUUCAACACUCCCGAUUUUGUCUGAUCUCGGAAGCUAAGCAGUUUCGGGCCCGGUUAGUACUUGGAUGGGAGAAAAAGCGACUUUGCCAAUCAAAUUAAGAGAUGAGGAGAUGGGCC
rnacentral:rRNA from 1 species